rnacentral:rRNA from 1 species
GACGAACGCUGGCGGCGUGCUUAACACAUGCAAGUCGAACGGUAAGGCCCUUCGGGGUACACGAGUGGCGAACGGGUGAGUAACACGUGGGUGAUCUGCCCUGCACUUCGGGAUAAGCCUGGGAAACUGGGUCUAAUACCGGAUAGGACCCUGGGAUGCAUGUCCUGGGGUGGAAAGCUUUUGCGGUGUGGGAUGGGCCCGCGGCCUAUCAGCUUGUUGGUGGGGUGAUGGCCGACCAAGGCGACGACGGGUAGCCGGCCUGAGAGGGUGACCGGCCACACUGGGACUGAGCUACGGCCCAGACUCCUACGGGAGGCAGCAGUGGGGAAUAUUGCACAAUGGGCGCAUGCCUGAUGCAGCGACGCCGCGUGAGGGAUGACGGCCUUCGGGUUGUAAACCUCUUUCAGCACCGACGAAGCGCAAGUGACGGUAGGUGCAGAAGAAGGACCGGCCAACUACGUGCCAGCCGCCGCUGUAA